rnacentral:rRNA from 1 species
ACCAGGUGGGAUCCCG